GACGGUAUUUCAUCACCUGACCAGCGGUGCCUCGCGCCUCCGACCCGCCCACUCUUCACGUGCACGCGGAAUGAUCCUGAAUACACUGAAAUACUGAAACAGACAUGCAUACAUUUUUUUAAACACAAGGUUAAGGUGAUUAGUGAUCUCCCAUAAACUGGCUUGCUCCUCAUCACUGGAGUCUCUGAAACUCACACAUCUCUUGGUCCUCGUGGAAUGUGAUUGUGCAUACAGAUACAGAUAGCACAGAGCUUCCCCAUCAAUGUGAAGCACAGCGAGCAGUAAUGGUCUGUUAAAGGAAAUCAUUUUGUCCAGCAGGACAUGUACAAUAUCCAGGAGCCUGGCUAUGGUGGCAUCACCUGGUAGGCUGCAAAAAUAUGAGGAAGUGUGUGUAUUCAUUUACUUUCCCCCAUGACUUUUCAUUUAAUUUUUAGUUAAAUUAUUUCUGGGGAGAAAUUGAAAUAUUCACUGAGAAAGUGUUUUAAAAUGUUACUUUUAGAUAAUACCUAAUAGAUAACAGCAUUUAUUUGAAAUAUAUUAUUUUGUAACAAUGUAAUAUGAUCACUU